AAUAGCAGGCUACGCUAUCACCACAGCCUUACAAGGAUAGAGGCUAACCCCCUACACCCUAACACCACCAAUCAACAAGCAGAACCAAUCGCUCUAACCCAAGCUUUACCCUAGCAAAGAGUAAAUCUCUAAUGUUUAUACAGAUUCUAAAUAUGCCUUUCAUAUAUUCGUAGCUCACAAAGCAAUAUGGAAAGAACAGGGACCCAUGACUACCAAAGGCUCCUCCAUCUCCAAUGCUUUAUACGUCAGUGUCGUCCUCAAGGCUCCCUCCUUCCUCUCCUAUUGGCAGAGUACACUGCAAAGCCCAUCAGACAGAUAAUUCCAUUAUGACAGCAGGCAACAACCUGGCAGACCAAAUGGCCCAGCAGGCAGCUCUAUUCUCCCUUCCCAACAAAGAGUCCAACACCAUUCUUCUUUCUACACCCCCAGACACUGUCUAAAACACGUCUACACCCCCGACACUACCAAGGUACCCAUCCUCACUAUCUACACCACUUACUUCCCCCUAACCUGUCUUCUCUAAGGGACUUCCCCAUACAAUCUCUAACCCUCACCCUGGACCAUACCAGAUUCCUCCAGGACCUCUCCCCUUCUCGUUCUAUCAAUUUCUUUUCAUCCUAUGGACAGAGCUGGCCUCUGACCCAGGACUUCAAGGCCUCUCUCCUCUUCCAGCUCCUUCAGGACUUACAUUUUCAGGGAUCCUUCACUGACUUCACCCCAACUGAAACUAACCUCCUUCCUCACUCUCUCCUCUACGCCCUUUCCUUCUUCCAUAGGCCAUGAUCAUCCUAUUACCCCUCCUUCUCUGCUUCCCUCCCACGGCUCCCAGAACCCUCCUGGCACUCGUUAUGCCUGGCAGUUUAAGAUGUAUGCAAUGGGCAGAAAACCUCCACUUUCAGUCACCUCCACCUUCUGUCCCAUUAAGGGCUGUCAAAAGGCCCUCUCCCUCACAUUCAACUUUGCCCAGAUCUGCAUCACCAACUGUUUUACUGGGCCAAAUACACCCAAACAAGCUUUUCCUAUCAUAAUUUCUGUCUCUGGUUAACUUCUGAUAACUCUGACACAUGCAACAACAUGGAUUGGAAGGGAUGUUCCAAAUGGUCCUGCAAUGACCA
rnacentral:lncRNA from 1 species